rnacentral:rRNA from 1 species
CCUACGGGAGGCAGCAGUGAGGAAUAUUGGUCAAUGGACGAGAGUCUGAACCAGCCAAGUAGCGUGAAGGAUGACUGCCCUAUGGGUUGUAAACUUCUUUUAUAUGGGAAUAAAAUGUUCCACGUGUGGGAUGUUGUAUGUACCAUAUGACUAAGGAUAGGCUAACUCCGUGCCAGCAGCCGCGGUAAUACGGAGGAUCCGAGCGUUAUCCGGCUUUUUUGGGUUUAAAGGGAGCGUAGGUGGGUCGUUAAGUCAGUUUUUAAAGGUUGCGGAUCAACCGUAAAAUUGCAGUUGAAACUGGCAGUCGUGAGUACAGGAGAGGUGGGCGGAAUUCGAGGUGUAGCGGUGAAAUGCUUAGAUAUCACGAAGAACUCCGAUUGCGAAGGCAGCUCACUGGACUGCAACUGACACUGAGGCUCGAAAGUGUGGGUAUCAAACAGGAUUAGAUACCCGAGUAGUC